rnacentral:rRNA from 1 species
AGCUCCACGAGCAUGUACGUAAGUUGUUGCAGUUAAAAAGCUCGUAGUUGGAUCUCAGGCCUGUGACCAGUGGUCCGCCCGAUACGGGUGUGUACUGCUGUGUCCGGUCUACGUCUGGUUUCAAUCUAUAGUGCUCUUAACCGGGUGCUAUAGAAUGCCAGAAAGUUUACUCUGAAAAAAUUAGAGUGCUUAAAGCAAGCCGUUGUGCUUGAAUACUGUUGCAUGGAAUAAUGGAAUAGGACCUCGGAUCUAUUU